rnacentral:tRNA from 1 species
GCCUGGGUGGCUCAGUUGGUUAAGCGUCUGACUUCGGCUCAGGUUAUAAUCUCACAGUUUGUGAGUUCAGGUCCCACAUCGGGCU